GCGGUCGUGGCGGAAUUGGUAGACGCGCAGCGUUGAGGUCGCUGUGGGGUGACCUGUGGAAGUUCGAGUCUUCUCGACCGCACCA
rnacentral:tRNA from 1 species